AUACAUGCUUAUUACUCGCUGAGUUUGUAGACUCACCCCAUACUCCCUGCACCUUGUGUGCAUCCAGGUGCACCAGAGACCUAGUGUUGUUGCUGUUGCUUAUCCGUGCUAUCAGAGUAUUGAGGUAGCUGCCCAGCGUCCGCAGCACUGCUGACUCUGUCUCUAUCGAUUUAUUCCAUCGCAGUCUUUGUCAGACAUUUGUAUCAUUUCCAUUCAGACUUAUAUUCAGUAUCGUUAGAGGCUCUGUACUCGUGACCUCAUGGUUUUGGGAGUAUUGUUGGCUCAUUUGUGUUUCCAUUCAUAUUGCUCAUCCCUGGCUGGGAGUUUAUAUUUCAAAUUUGUUGUUUAACCUUAAAUUUGUAUCUCUUUGGGAUGGAAUAAUAUCGUUUUUUGGGAGAUGUUGGUCGGGCUUGCCUAGCCUUGCGACCGGGCGCCAUCAUAACCGGGUUUGGGGUUGUGACAGCUAAGCUUGGGAGCCGAUGUCCAUAUCCACGUCCACUCGUCCACUUUGAAGAUGAUGUGAUCCACUACCAUAUCCACAUUCAACUAAAGAAAAUUGUACCAAAUUGAUCCUGUUUCAUCCAAAGAAAAAUUGUAAGUUUGAAAAGAAAAAUAGUUGACUUGUGCUUGUAGAGGAACUUGGUCCUUAGUUUUGGAAAGGAAGAAUACUCAAUGUUUGAGGGAUUUAAAGAAUAUUAUAUGGGUUAGAGUUUCUAGCCUUGGAGGUACUUGGAUCUGAAUGGUUUGAAGGAUUAGAGAUUUUGAAAGAUCAAGGAAGUUAUUUGAUUGUCUAAAAAAAUCUUCCCCAGUUUUCAAUUUUGGGAUGCUUGAUUUUAAAUAACAGUGUGACUGAACCCUUGUAUAAAGGUACCUACGUAUCUUGUCAAAACAAGUCAAGUUGGACGUAGUUCAAACUUAAAAUUGAUGGAGUUAUAGAAGAACCGCAAAUUGACAUGAUUAUUGUGGUCAUAUCAGAUAGCUUUGGAAAUAAAUUUUGUAGGGUGGGUGGAGAAUAGUAGCGCUUGAGUAUGAAACUUGCUUUUUGAAAAGGAUUGAGUAAAAGGUAGACUCUUGUACAACAUAAUACUUUGAGACUCUAUUAGAAUACCCAAAAACAUUUUAAUCUAAGGAAAAAAAAAUAACAAAUUAUUUCUGGAUCAACUUGAAACAGGAGUACAAGAUUGAAUUGGUGUGUUGCAUUGAAAGAUCGACAGAUAUAUGAAGGCACGAUCUGGAUGGCCAUUGCAAGACUUAAAAGUAAAAUUUUAAAAAUCUUAAAGUUAUCAAAAAUAUGUGGAUAGGUUCUUGGAUUACUAAAUAGGAAAGGUUGCAGUCUAAUCGAUUAGAAGUUAUUGAUAGACAAAUGAUCGGUCUAAGAUUUAUUUUGACCAAACCGAGUUUGAGAAUAUGAAAAAUUGACCAUAGUUCUAAAAUGGAAUUUGAAUGAGAACAGUAGUACAUUCAAUUAUGAAAUGAAUGAACUACAUUCAACUAUUGGUUUUUGAUUUUUCUUUUUUAAAAGAAAGAGAAAUAACCACAUAUAUAUAAUAAUAAAAAAAAUAUAUAGAGCAUAUAGGACAUUAAAUAACCACAUUUGCACAUUAACUAAAUACAUUAUUCCACAUAGAGGUAGGCCUAACAUAUAUUUGAAGAAUUGAUAUGUCCGUAUGUCAUUCCACAUCUCUGAUAUAAUUCAAUUUUUCAUACAAAAUAAAAUACCAAGAUAAUUUUUCAUUGAAUGUCGAAUAAGAGAAACGUAUAUGUUAGCCACGUCUUUUUUUUGUUAUGGAUUAUGUGAGCUGAAAACUUGAUUUUUUAAUACAUAUCACAAAAAGGUUAGUUAUAAUUCCCUAGCUAGAAUCUGAUUAAUGUAGAGCAUAUGAUCCACAUAAUUAAUAUAUUUAUCCUUCAAAAUAUGCACAUAAGUUUUGGACAUUUGGUAAGGUUGGCUAAUGAAUUUAACACACCAAGGGUAUUAAGUAUCUUAGGCUCAAAUGGUGCAUGUAUCAUACAAAAGGUUUUGGCAUGGAUAUAUUCUAUAUUGAUUAAGAGUAGAUUUUUCUAGACUGAUCUGCUCUCAAGUGGACAACUUGAUAGUGGAAAGCCUGCGACUGUCGAUUUCACUACUGAUCGAUUUACCCACAAACUUUCCCCUACAAGGUUUGUUUAAGUAAAACAAUUAUGGCAUAUAAAAAAAUUUAAGAUCAAAUAAAGUAAGCACACAAGCCUUAAUUUACUAAGUCCGUGAUGGUUAGAACCAAAGUAUCCCCAGCAGAGUCGCCAAGCUGUUAUACCUCAUUUUAACACGGGUCAAAUUACGUACAACAUAUAGGCAAUUUCAUAUUUGAUUAAAGUUGAAGAGUCACCACCUAAUUAUUCUAA
rnacentral:lncRNA from 1 species